CAAACAUCCUUUGCUGGGCUCCUGCCCAGCAAUGAACAGAAUGGUUAUGCAACUUUAGUGAGCCUCAAAAUCAUUGGGAAGUGGACAAAUGUUACAAUUCCUGACCCCAGCCACACAGAUUUUCAUUCAAGAAGUCCUUGGAAUCUGCCUUGUCUUAAAUAUGCCCUGCUGGCCUCGUCUGAGCUCAGUCUCAGUGCUGAUGGGAGCUUGGGCUUGUGGAAGAGAGAACUGAACAGGACAAGCAGUGUGAGACUUAUGUAAUGAGUUUAUUCAUUGUAAGUCAUGAAAGUCAUGGCCUGUAUUCUUCAGGUAUAUACCAUCUACUAGAAGUAGAUGGUGCUUAAUAAAAAAAAUAGAAAACAUUG